GUAGGGUGACCUUGCGGAGGGAUCAUUACCGAGUUUACAACUCCCAAACCCCUGUGAACAUACCUUUAUGUUGCCUCGGCGGAUCAGCCCGCGCCCCGUAAAACGGGACGGCCCGCCGCAGGACCACAAAACUCUGAUUUUAGUGUAACUUCUGAGUCUAAAAAACAAAUAAAUCAAAACUUUCAACAACGGAUCUCUUGGUUCUGGCAUCGAUGAAGAACGCAGCAAAAUGCGAUAAGUAAUGUGAAUUGCAGAAUUCAGUGAAUCAUCGAAUCUUUGAACGCACAUUGCGCCCGCCAGUAUUCUGGCGGGCAUGCCUGUUCGAGCGUCAUUUCAACCCUCAAGCCCCCGGGUUUGGUGUUGGGGAUCGGGCUGUACUCCAGCCCGGCCCCGAAAUCUAGUGGCGGUCUCGCUGCAGCCUCCAUUGCGUAGUAGCUAACACCUCGCAACUGGAACGCGGCGCGGCCAAGCCGUUAAACCCCCAACUUCUGAAUGUUGACCUCGGAUCAGGUAGGAAUACCCGCAAAGGUAUCAGACAU
rnacentral:rRNA from 1 species